UACGAAGGGGGCUAGCGUUGUUCGGAAUCACUGGGCGUAAAGGGCGCGUAGGCGGCCGUUCAAGUCGGGGGUGAAAGCCUGUGGCUCAACCACAGAAUUGCCUCGAUACUGGACGGCUCGAGACCGGAAGAGGUCAGUGGAACUGCGAGUGUAGAGGUGAAAUUCGUAGAUAUUCGCAAGAACACCAGUGGCGAAGGCGGCUUACUGGUCCGGUUCUGACGCUGAGGCACGAAAGCGUGGGGAGCAAACAGGG
rnacentral:rRNA from 1 species